AUCGGAAUCGCGUAAGUCAAGGCUUACGUGAGCGUGUCUUGUAAAUUCAGUAACCCACUGACGGUGUAAAACCAUCGCGGCAAGCCUGCGUGCGAAGCUGUGUUGCCGUUAGUUAUUGACAAAAAAUCCAUGCGGUGAGUUCGCUCUUAUGCAGCGUCCGACCGUAUGUUUAACAGAGCGGUUACUUCUCC
rnacentral:sRNA from 12 species